UACGGGGGGGGCAAGCGUUGUUCGGAAUUACUGGGCGUAAAGGGCGCGUAGGCGGCCUGCUAAGUCGGAUGUGAAAUCCCUCGGCUCAACCGAGGAACUGCAUCCGAUACUGGCGGGCUUGAAUCCGGGAGAGGGAUGUGGAAUUCCAGGUGUAGCGGUGAAAUGCGUAGAUAUCUGGAGGAACACCGGUGGCGAAGGCGGCAUCCUGGACCGGCAUUGACGCUGAGGAGCGAAAGCCAGGGGAGCAAACGGG
rnacentral:rRNA from 1 species